GGGUUUACUUAUUGGUCAGGCUUAAUUGUCUGUACUGGUGAGAUGGAUCUCUACCUUCUGAGGAACUUUCAUGCCAUUUAUUUGGUGUGAUGGGAAAUCAGGACUGUUACUUUGAAAAAAUUAGAGUGUUUAAAGCAAGCUAACGCUUGAAUACAUUAGCGUGGAAUAAUGAAAUAGGACGUUCGAUCCUAUUUUGUUGGUUUCUAGGAUUGACGUA
rnacentral:rRNA from 1 species